rnacentral:rRNA from 1 species
UACGUAGGUGGCAAGCGUUGUCCGGAUUUAUUGGGUUUAAAGGGUGCGUAGGCGGCCCUGUAAGUCAGUGGUGAAAUACUCCAGCUUAACUGGAGGGGUGCCAUUGAUACUGCAGGGCUUGAGUACAGAUGAAGUAGGCGGAAUUGACGGUGUAGCGGUGAAAUGCGUAGAUAUCUGGAGGAACACCGGUGGCGAAGGCGGCAUCCUGGACUGUAACUGACACUGAGGAACGAAAGCCAGGGGAGCAAACGGG